rnacentral:rRNA from 1 species
GUCCUGAAGGAACGUUGAAGACGACGACGUUGAUAGGCCGGGUGUGUAAGCGCAGCGAUGCGUUGAGCUAACCGGUACUAAUGAACCGUGAGGCUUAACUUUACAACGCCGAAG